rnacentral:rRNA from 1 species
UACGUAGGUGGCAAGCGUUGUCCGGAUUUACUGGGCGUAAAGAGCGCGCAGGCGGUCGUUCAAGUCGCGUGUGAAAGCCCCCGGCUCAACUGGGGAGGGUCACGCGAUACUGCUCGACUCGAAGGCAGGAGAGGGAAGCGGAAUUCCCGGUGUAGUGGUGAAAUGCGUAGAUAUCGGGAGGAACACCAGUGGCGAAGGCGGCUUCCUGGCCUGUUCUUGACGCUGAGGCGCGAAAGCUAGGGGAGCAAACGGG